UUUUUGUUUACAGGAUGCCAUUUUUAGAAAGUAAGUUCCUUAUGGGCAGGAACAUGUUUUGUUAACUGAAGGGCUCCAAGCACCCAGAUUUGUACCUGGCACAGAGCAAUCACUUAUUCCACCUAAAGAAGAGUCAGUUACCUGCUUCUGACCAGGAAAUGAAACAAGACUUAAGAAGCCCGCUUGCCUUAAACAAGUUCCUACCCCUGAGACUAAAAGCUGCAGCAAGGAUGGCCUCCCCUCUGGUCGAGGCAGGCUAAAGCUACUGCUGGUAUCUGAUUCCUCAUGUUCUCCAUGGAGCCUCGGCUGUUUCAGAUUUCAUCUACUUCUUUUGUUGCCCUGACAGAACCUAACAAAAGCUCCAGACCCAUAGGAGGCCCAUAAAAUAAUGCUUGUUCAAUUGAAUUAUAACGUCAUUGAAGGCUGUA